AGUGAACGCUGGCGGUAGGCCUAACACAUGCAAGUCGAACGGCAGCACAGAGGAGCUUGCUCCUUGGGUGGCGAGUGGCGGACGGGUGAGGAAUACAUCGGAAUCUACUCUGUCGUGGGGGAUAACGUAGGGAAACUUACGCUAAUACCGCAUACGACCUACGGGUGAAAGCAGGGGACCUUCGGGCCUUGCGCGAUUGAAUGAGCCGAUGUCGGAUUAGCUAGCUGGCGGGGUAAAGGCCCACCAAGGCGACGAUCCGUAGCUGGUCUGAGAGGAUGGUCAGCCACACUGGAACUUGGACACGGUCCAGACUCCUAGGGGAGGCAGCAGUGGGGAAUAUUGGACAAUGGGCGCAAGCCUGAUCCAGCCAUACCGCGUGGGUGAAGAAGGCCUUCGGGUUGUAAAGCCCUUUUGUUGGGAAAGAAAUCCAGCUGGCUAAUACCCGGUUGGGAUGACGGUACCCAAAGAAUAAGCACCGGCUAACUUCGUGCCAGCCGCCGCAGUAA
rnacentral:rRNA from 1 species